GACGUAGGGUGCAAGCGUUGUCCGGAUUUAUUGGGCGUAAAGAGCUCGUAGGCGGCUUGUUGCGUCGACUGUGAAAACCCGCGGCUUAACCGCGGGCUUGCAGUUGAUACGGGCAGGCUAGAGUUCGGUAGGGGAGACUGGAAUUCCCGGUGUAGCGGUGAAAUGCGUAGAUAUCUGGAGGAACACCGGUGGCGAAGGCGGCAUCCUGGACCGGCAUUGACGCUGAGGCGCGAAAGCUAGGGGAGCAAACGGG
rnacentral:rRNA from 1 species